rnacentral:rRNA from 1 species
UACGAAGGGGGCUAGCGUUGCUCGGAAUCACUGGGCGUAAAGCGCACGUAGGCGGCUUUUUAAGUCAGGGGUGAAAUUCUGGAGCUCAACUCCAGAACUGCCUUUGAUACUGGGAGCUCGAGUCCGGGAGAGGUGAGUGGAACUCCGAGUGUAGAGGUGAAAUUCGUAGAUAUUCGGAAGAACACCAGUGGCGAAGGCGGCUCACUGGCCCGGUACUGACGCUGAGGUGCGAAAGCGUGGGGAGCAAACAGGG